rnacentral:rRNA from 1 species
UACGUAGGGUGCUAGCGUUGUCCGGAUUUAUUGGGCGUAAAGGGCUCGUAGGCGGCGUGUCGCGUCGGGGAGUGAAAGCCCGCUGCUUAACGGCGGGUUGGCUUCCGGUACGGGCAUCGCUGGAGUGCGGCAGGGGAGACUGGAAUUCCUGGUGUAGCGGUGGAAUGCGCAGAUAUCGGGAAGAACACCCCGUGGCGAAGGCGGUUCUCUGGGACGGUACUGACGCUGAGACGCGAAAGCGUGGGGAGCGAACAG